GGAUUUCCUGAGUAGCGGCGAGCGAAAAGGGAAGAGCCCAGCGCUGAAUCCUGCCGUUCUAGCGGGCGGCCAGGAAAUGUAGCGUUCGGGAGGAGAUUUUAACUUUCGCACGGUGUUACGGCGGCCAGUCCAAGUUCAUCUUGAAAGGGGCCCUGCUUAUCCGCAGAGGGUGCCAGGCCCGUAGCGACGGUCGCCGGCCGUGACGGUCUCUCUCCCCAGAGUCGGGUUGCUUGAGAGUGCAGCCCUAAGCGGGUGGUAAACUCCAUCUAAGGCUAAAUACUACCACGAGACCGAUAGCGAACA
rnacentral:rRNA from 1 species